GACGAACGCUGGCGGCGGGCUUAACACAUGCAAGUCGAACGGCAAGGCAGUGCUUUUGUGGGGUGCUGGAGUGGCGAAGGGGAGAGUAACACGUGAGUAACCUACCCUCGACUUUGGGGUAAUUUCAGGAAACUGGGGCUAAUACCGGAUAGGAUCUCCUGCUGCGUGGUGGGGGUGGGAAAUUUUCGGCGGUGGGGGUUGGACUCGCGGCUUAUCAGCUUGUUGGUGGGGGAGUGGCUGACCAAGGCUUCGACGGGUAGCUGGCCUGGGAGGGGGACCGGCUACAUUGGAACUGAGCUACGGCCCAGACUCCAACGGGAGGCAACGGUGGGGAGUAUUACACAGUGGGAGGGAGCCUGGUGCGACAACGCCGCGUGCGGGAUGACGUCCUGCGGGUAGUGAACCGCAUCCGCUUGAGACGUAGCGUGAGUGACGGUAAUGGGUGAAGAAGCACCGGCUAACUACGUG
rnacentral:rRNA from 1 species